rnacentral:rRNA from 1 species
UGGGGAAUAUUGCACAAUGGGCGCAAGCCUGAUGCAGCCAUGCCGCGUGUAUGAAGAAGGCCUUCGGGUUGUAAAGUACUUUCAGCGAGGAGGAAGGCGUUGUGGUUAAUAACCGCAACGAUUGACGUUACUCGCAGAAGAAGCACCGGCUAACUCCGUGCCAGCAGCCGCGGUAAUACGGAGGGUGCAAGCGUUAAUCGGAAUUACUGGGCGUAAAGCGCACGCAGGCGGUCGGUCAAGUCGGAUGUGAAAUCCCCGGGCUCAACCUGGGAACUGCAUCCGAAACUGGCAGGCUAGAGUCUUGUAGAGGGGGGUAGAAUUCCAGGUGUAGCGGUGAAAUGCGUAGAGAUCUGGAGGAAUACCGGUGGCGAAGGCGGCCCCCUGGACAAAGACUGACGCUCAGGUGCGAAAGCGUGGGGAGCAAACA